rnacentral:rRNA from 1 species
GACGAACGCUGGCGGCGUGCCUAAUACAUGCAAGUCGAGCGAAUCGAUGGGAGCUUGCUCCCUGAGAUUAGCGGCGGACGGGUGAGUAACACGUGGGUAACCUGCCUGUAAGACUGGGAUAACUUCGGGAAACCGGAGCUAAUACCGGAUACUUUCUUUUCUCGCAUGAGGGAAGAUGGAAAGAUGGUUCUGCUAUCACUUACAGAUGGACCCGCGGCGCAUUAGCUAGUUGGUGAGGUAACGGCUCACCAAGGCAACGAUGCGUAGCCGACCUGAGAGGGUGAUCGGCCACACUGGGACUGAGACACGGCCCAGACUCCUACGGGAGGCAGCAGUAGGGAAUCUUCCGCAAUGGACGAAAGUCUGACGGAGCAACGCCGCGUGAGCGAAGAAGGCCUUCGGGUCGUAAAGCUCUGUUGUUAGGGAAGAACAAGUACGAGAGUAACUGCUCGUACCUUGACGGUACCUAACCAGAAAGCCACGGCUAACUACGUGCCAGCAGCCGCCGCGGUAA